rnacentral:rRNA from 1 species
GCGCACGGGUGAGUAACGCGUAUCCAACCUGCCCAUCACUUGGGGAUAACCUUGCGAAAAGUAAGACUAAUACCCCAAUGACGUCUCUAGAAGACAUCUGAAGGAGAUUAAAGAUUUAUCGGUGAUGGAUGGGGAUGCGUCUGAUUAGCUUGUUGGCGGGGUAACGGCCCACCAAGGCGACGAUCAGUAGGGGUUCUGAGAGGAAGGUCCCCCACAUUGGAACUGAGACACGGUCCAAACUCCUACGGGAGGCAGCAGUGAGGAAUAUUGGUCAAUGGACGAGAGUCUGAACCAGCCAAGUAGCGUGCAGGAUGACGGCCCUAUGGGUUGUAAACUGCUUUUAUAAGGGAAUAAAGUGAGUCUCGUGAGACUUUUUGCAUGUACCUUAUGAAUAAGGACCGGCUAAUUCCGUGCCAGCAGCCGCGGUAAUACGGAAGGUCCGGGCGUUAUCCGGAUUUAUUGGGUUUAAAGGGAGCGUAGGCCGGAGAUUAAGCGUGUUGUGAAAUGUAGACGCUCAACGUCUGCACUGCAGCGCGAACUGGUUUCCUUGAGUACGCACAAAGUGGGCGGAAUUCGUGGUGUAGCGGUGAAAUGCUUAGAUAUCACGAAGAACUCCGAUUGCGAAGGCAGCUCACUGGAGCGCAACUGACGCUGAAGCUCGAAAGUGCGGGUAUCGAACAGGAUUAGAUACCCUGGUAGUCCGCACGGUAAACGAUGGAUGCCCGCUGUUGGUCUGAAUAGGUCAGCGGCCAAGCGAAAGCAUUAAGCAUCCCACCUGGGGAG